ensembl:snoRNA
GCAGUGAUGAAUUUGUGGGUUUGAUCAUCAAUGAGCUGAUAUAACUCAACUCAAUCCUCUAAGAAGUUCUGAGCUC